ensembl:lncRNA novel transcript
GGGCAUAUGCCUCGGAGACUAUGUUCCCCAAGCAGCUUUGUGAGCCUUGGGAGACCAGCUCAGGAUGAAGCCUUGUCUUCUGUUAUCCAUUGCUGCCUAUCUACAGGUAAUAUUCCAACAUUGCCACAAGGUUCGAGGGUGACACAUCUCACACAUGUACGUGAACAACCAAUCAUCAUGCUCAUGAACUACAAAAGGAUCAGGUUUUUCUCCAAAGGCUAAACAGAAAUCGGUCCUUUCAAAAGACUUCACCACUGAUAUCAACCAACCUCCUGCCACUUCUCCUCUCUUCUGUGGUUUGGACACAGCUGACCAGCAUUUCUUCCUGGUAAGAGACCAACAACCACCGAGACUUUCUAGUCAGUCUACGGAGGAUGUGCAGUGGGGGUUUUCAUGUCCUCUGCUUCACCUUUUGACAUCAGACAGCUGAAAACUCCACGCUGGGAUCAUGCUAAUGCCACCAUUGUUUGAACAUGGGACCCAUGAAGGAUCAGGAAGCUCAGUUAUGCAUGCAUGUAUGUCUCCUUUCACAAAUAUUCGUGACUCCUCCUGUAGCUUAUUGAAUAUGCAUAUUUUUGUCAACCUGCUCAGAAUUAAUCUCUGUCUUAUUCUCAACCUCGGAGUACCUGUUUUUGGCUCCUAGCUGGAGCAUAUACUUCCCAGCCUGUCAGAACGACCACCCUGCAGGCUGCCAUCCUUUGUGAAAAAUAAAGCUGUCCUUUUAUUUA